GACUGCUGUCAUCAAGGAGUGCCAUUGCUAUGGUGGGGGGUGCCUGGUCUGGUCUAGCUUACCUGUGACAUUGAUGGGGAUGAUGCAGGAGGAGACGGCAUGAGAAUCACCAGGUGUUUUCUGAUCUGAUGGAGGGGCAUUUUCCUUUGACCAGUUUGUUUGUUUAUCCUGGGUUGAGGGGGCACUGGAGGCAGAGGCCUUGGUUCUGUGUCCUCCCAAGACUUCACCACCUUCACCCUCCCCUGUCGAGGUAGACUAGAAGAAACAGGCAACAUUACAACUAAGACAAAACAUUCCCGUGCAAUUCCAGCAGCCAGACUGACAGCAUCUGCAGACGCAAACCCUCCCCCUUCACCUCCACACCCACCAUCACCAAUCCACCACCACCACCACCACCACCCACCUGCUGUCUGUCCCUGCUCUGCCUCCCCUUCAUCUGAUCCAAUGUGUCACUGAAAGGAAAUUCUUCUUAAUGUCAACAGAGUAUGCGGUCCGCUCCACUUUGGCCUCGCUUAGAGCCGCAUCACACAGAAAUGACACAUCUACGCUUCAUCGCAAACUUAAACCCGUCUUCCCGUCUUUACGCUUCACCCCCGUCCGCCUGUGUCAGAUGGUAGGAUCCUGCCUGGGCAUGGCCUCUUCCUGACCAUAAUCUCUUCAUGAUGCAGUAAAAUGAGGAUUGGGGGGUUCCGGCACAAAGUAUUAAUGUAUUAAUCCACCACAUGCUGGGAAUAUGUAUCACGUGCUCAGUCCUUCUAUCGCUGCCAGGAGUCAUGAUCUAAGAAUGACUUUGUGUUGGUGUAAUGUGACUCAUGUUGGUCUAAAGUGGCUCAUAAUUCAGUCAAACCGAGGACAAAGUUUACAGCAGUGAGGCCGAAAUGUAAAACACCAGGAUUUCGAAAUCACUUAAAAAAGCCGAAUGCAAAUAUGUUUUCAGUGUAAUUAACAGUCCCCUCCUCAAGGAAACUUUGUUUACGCUCAUUGUGAGGACUCGACAUCCCCAUGUGGUUGCUAAAUCAACAGCAUGAAACGCGCACAAACAGAGAAAGUGUAUGAGCACCCUGCCCGGUAAUCUGCUGUAAUCUGGAGCUCUGGCAGUUCACUGACUUUGGAGUUGAGCUGUUGGAGCUGGCAGUCUGCUCGAGGAGCUUUCAGCCUCCCGCCAUGCCCGGGAAUGACACCGACACCCACACACAAACACGCACAGCACAGCAACAUCCGAACGCACAUGUGAACCCGCCACGUGUCCGCGCACGCUUUCGCCGACAAUACCAGCACAAAGACAGUCGAACCUGACUACCAGCGUUAAAUGCACAGAGGUUUUGAGUUAGCUACAGCAGAUUUCCUAAACAGGACUGCUGGGAGUUCCUUAAUAGCUUCACGUCCCUGGGGUCUUUUGUCAAGUUGUGGUAUUGAGCGAUCUAUGAAACAUCAGUGCCGGAUCACAGACCUUUCAACCGCAUAUUAACUGGUUCGUAACCUGAGCUUCUUGGAGAGGACCGUAAUGGUUUCUUCUGCCUGAGGAGCUCAGGCCACAUCAGUACAUCAGACUCUACGUCACUUAAGAUUAUUUCAGUUUGACCUCGCUUGGUUUGGUGAGUCUGAUAGUAGUGCUGAUGAUAAAUAUCCUUUGUUCUCCCUCCAAAUGUCUCUAUGUUUGCAUGUCUUUGUUUCUUCUUCCUGACAAAAUGAAUAAAUCAUUCCACCCCUG